rnacentral:rRNA from 1 species
AGGAUAAACGCUGGCGGCGUGCCUAACACAUGCAAGUCGAACGUCCUACGCAAGUAGGGAGUGGCGGACGGGUGAGUAACACGUGGGCAAUCUACCUUUCGGUGAGGAAUACCGGCGAGAAAUCGCCGACAAUACCGCAUACGCUUCGCAAGAAGCAAAGUCGCAAGACGCCGGAGGAGGAGCCUGCGCCCGAUUAGCUGGUUGGUGGAGUAAUGGUCUACCAAGGCGACGAUCGGUAGCUGGUCUGAGAGGACGACCAGCCACACCGGAACUGAGACACGGUCCGGACUCCUACGGGAGGCAGCAGUGGGGAAUAUUGGACAAUGGGGGAAACCCUGACGCAGCAACGCCGCGUGGAGGAUGAAGCCCCUUGGGGCGUAAACUCCUUUCGAUCGGGAAGAUAAUGACGGUACCGGAAGAAGAAGCCCCGGCUAACUUCGUGCCAGCAGCCGC